rnacentral:rRNA from 1 species
GACGGAAGGUGCAAGCGUUGCUCGGAAUCACUGGGCGUAAAGGGUGCGUAGGCGGCUUGGUAAGUUAGAGGUGAAAGCCCGGAGCUCAACUCCGGAAUUGCCUUUAAGACUGCAUCGCUAGAACGUCGGAGAGGUGAGUGGAAUUCCGAGUGUAGAGGUGAAAUUCGUAGAUAUUCGGAAGAACACCAGUGGCGAAGGCGACUCACUGGACGACUGUUGACGCUGAGGUGCGAAAGCGUGGGGAGCAAACAGG